rnacentral:lncRNA from 1 species
GAGCCAAGAGCGGUGGCUCACGCCUGUAAUCCCAGCACUUUGGGAGGCCGAGGCGGGCGGAACACGAGGUCAGGAGAUCGAGACCAUCCCGGCUAAAACGGUGAAACCCCGUCUCUACUAAAAAUACAAAAAAUUAGCCAGGCGUAGUGGCAGGCGCCUGUAGUCCCAGCUACUUGGGAGGCUGAGGCAGGAGAAUGGCAUGAACCCGGGAGGCGGAGCUUGCAGUGAGCUGAGAUCCCGCCACUGCACUCCAGCCUGGGCGACAGAGCGAGACUCCGUCUCAAAAAAAAAAAAAAAAAAAAGACUUUCAGGCCAGAGACAGGGAGGGCUGAGGCCCUGACACUCCAUGCUGAUCAAAUGGGUCUGCAGAGCUGCCACCCACACCCAGGAGCAUUAUUUAUGGUGCCGGCCACAGGGCUGAGUUGUGCUUUCCUCCUUCUCCAUCUGGCCCUCCCUGGCAGGGCUCCCGGCUUGACUUACCACCGAUAGGGCCGUAUGCCCUGCCAGCCCUGGGAGAGCCUGCAAGAGACAAGGGUGGAGAGGAAAGAUGGGAGUUAAUUCCUUUCCACAUUGCCAGUCCUGUGCCAACCCCUGUGCUCCCUAUAGCCCCAGGUGGAAACUCCAUACCUACGUGGAAUCCCGUAGUGGACACACCAGGA